UUUAAUGAAAAAAUCCCUAGUUUGUGUUGGAGAAGCAAUACUCAGAAUGACUUUAAGGGCAGGAUUUGAGAGGAAGAUUCAGUUGGGACACAGGGAAAGCGUCACAGUGAAAUGAUAAUAAAGCCUGUAAAGAAGUUUAAAUCCACAGAAGCAAUACAUGUUUGAAUCGUUCUGAUAAUUGAACUCUUCAAAUUUGAGCUCUUAAUUUCAGUUAAGUUUUUUUAAUUGUGGGGGAAAAUUCUUAAUCUAAAGAAAGUGUUAGAUAUUUUGAUGGACAUAUUGAAGGAAUAUGUUUAAAGGAAAACACCCUAUUAGUUCAUUUAAACAGUGCAAUUCUAUGAAAAUCUGAUUACAGGGAGUCUCUGUUAGUGAAGAAAAACUGCAUUUUUUGAGGGAAGAGGAACAGCUGAACAUUUUUUGUCAGAAAUCCUUUGUAAGCCUGAAAAUGAAAUAAAGUCCUUUCCAGGAAAAUCUGUGUCUGAUGCUUCAUCUUUAUAAGGACACCUGGAUAACCUCCCACAUCCAAAAUACACUGUGAAAUACAGUAUUUUCAAAUCAAUGACCCCAUCACAUCCCAGCUGCAGUACUGAGAAUUAACCCCGUGCUAGCCAGGCGUGGGAGGCGCAGUGCCCAUGCGGAGAGCACGCUGUGGCUCUGCGCCGCGCUCUUCGAAGAGGCUGAGCCUUACGGGGGCACGCUGCCUCCUGCACCCGCCUCGGUGACUGCACUUGUUUGCAGUGCAGUACGACACUUAUUUGGCUGCGUCGCAGUGAGAGCUGGAAGUCUUGCUGUUUUAAAUGUAUGUGUUAUUUUACAUAUGCAGCUGUAACUUGUGUUAGAGCUUGCUGAACUCUAGCUAACAAAGGUAAUAGGAGUGAAGACGUGGCUAAAGGAUCAUCACAGAGCGGUGGCUGUACAGAUGAUUUAGUUCCACUUGGUAGAGUCAAGAUUUCUUUGGCUUAAAACACUGUAUCAGGCCAGACAAGCUGCUAGGAACAGAGCCAUGCUCAGAUCUCAAGAGCUGUUUGAACAGUUUGUUGCUGGCAGCUGGCUGUUGGACCGGCAGCCUGCACAUGGCGUAGGGAGCGGCUGCGCUCCCGCCUGCUAGCAGACACCCUGGCCUCGGAGUCGGGGAGUUUCACCUCUGUGGGAUCUGCGAGGCAGCCAGCGUAGGUGAACCUUGGCACGCACGGGGUCUCUGGAAGGCCUGGCAGAGUUUGUUCAGUUCUCUGCCGUUGCCAGGUUUGGCUUCCUCUUACGACUUUAUUUUUCUAUUUGAUUGCUGAGAAAGAAAAAAGUAGUUCAGAGCCAAUACACCGCAUUGCUCUUCAGAGGAGGCUUUGAGUGUGGUUGGGUUUCAGCUGCAAUGAAAAUUCCUGCUGCUGACAGCUGCAGUGGUGUAUCUGAAACAGUGCUGAUGAAACUGCUGCAGUUUCAGUGGAAAAAAAUGUCUCCAGUCUCCCCCAGUAUCGCUGUUGCCAAACUUAACUGCUGGAGGGUGCUGUGAUGAGUGGUCCAGCAUCAACUGGAUCUGGGGCGGCUGCAGAAUCCGGCUGGCUGCACUGCAGCCGAUGGGCCCUGUGCUGGUGGUGCCCUGCAGGCCGUUCAGGCCCUUCCCACUGCUUUCUUGAGCGCUCCUCAAAGCUGUGCAUCCCUUCGUAUUGAGGGCAAGAUUUACUGCAUCUGCUUGAACUGGAUCAGAAUCCAGACUUCUCCAGUUUCAACAUUUGUAUCCCUGGAAGGAUAUUUAAUCUGUGCAUUUUUCACAUUGGACUUCGUGGUACUCUUUCUCUGAAAUAACUUUCAUGUCAGCACUCCAUCCUGAAGUCUGCCCUGCAUUCAAAGGAGAACUCACUGUGUAGGCAGUAAAAGUCCUGUCUGAGCUUACUGUUUUAAAAUACCAUCUAGUAACCUGACUUCUAGCUAUAGAGGUUUCCCAGCUAUUGUUGUGAAAUACAUAAACUCUAAAGAAAAUUAAAGAUACAGCUCCCACAGGUGUGUAGCAAGUAUUGCAACUUUGGGCUGUCACGUCAGAUAAGAGGCAUUUAUGAUUUAGACUGGGUUCAUUUUUGGUAUUAGUACGGGGACUAAAGACUGAUGCAAAGCUGCUAUGUUUAUUUAUUUGCAUUUGUAUUGCUUGAUUUGUGACAACAGAUUUCAUUGUUUUUGAAUGACACAAAGAGCUUCUCUAGUAGAUUGUUAGCUAGUGAACCAAUUUAAGAAGUUAAGCUGCUAGGGAAAUUCUACAGUCUGCUGGUAAGUGAUGACGCCGAAUGAACUCUGUUUUAAUAUGAUUAAUUAUAAAAUAGAAGAAAAGCCUAACUGAUGUUUUAAAAAUCUGUCAGUUACUUAAAGGUGCAAAGAGUGUUAAGUGCUUUUGGACACACUGGUCGGAGUGGUGCUGUCGGAGAAUUGUUAUAGAAGUUUAGUUAGAAGGACCAUGUGGACAUGACCUACAGAUCCUCGGCAGCAAGCUGGAGCCACGGCAUAGUUUUGCUGAUGCUUUAGGAUUUGGAAGGUGCUGGGAGUGUAUGCAAGUCUGCUAAGUGAGUCCAAUGUUUAACCUGUUACCAGUCUGUCUUCAGGUGCAAUAGUUCUGUGAUACAACCUCCAUCUACCUUUUCUGCCACAGCAACUAAUUAACAGAGCAUCUAUCAUUUAUUAACUUUGAUACAGGUAGAGCUUUAGUUUAUUGCCUCUGUACAGGAAAAAGCAUGGGGUAUUGUGCCUGGAAGCUGUAUAACUGAGCAGCAUGGUAUUUUUUUUUAAAGUUGUACACUGUGCUUCUAACAGAGCAGAGAUUACACUGUACUUGCAGAUUUUUCCAUAGCUUCCUCCUGAUUCUUUAUUUCAGAGAGUGUAAUACUUCCUUUGAGUUUUAAAAAUUGAAUUUUUAAUUUGAUUUGCCUUGAAAGUAAUGCCUUUCAAGAGACUAGAUCUGCAUCAAAGCUUAGCGUUUUCUUCUGUAGCUUCAUGAAAUGAGUUAUGUGAAGUAAACCCGUCUUCCUCACCACAUUGUAUCUAGCAAAGUUGAUAGAAAAGUAGAUGUGGCAGUUUAUAUAAAGCUGUUUACAAAGGUCUUUGACAGUCUAGUGUGGCAUGGUCACUGUGUUAAUUCUCGCAUGGUUUUUUAUGAGAGCUUUAAUAAUCAAGUCUUAAAAGAAAAAGGAGAAUGUUACGUUUAAUCGCUUCCUCAUAUUCCUGGAAUAGGAAGCAAGAUGUCCUUGCAGUGCUUCCACAUAUGCUGGGAUGUUUCUCUUGAAAUGCCAAUGUGCAUUCAGGCAGUUCAAAGUAUAUCCUAGUUGUCUCUUGAACUACAAAGAAAUGGCAAAGGAAAUCACACUUGAACAGCUUUGUGUUCAGAUAGGUCCAAAGUUGAAUAACAAAUCGAAUGCAGAAAUUUGCAUAUCUGAAGGAAAACUUUUGUUUUAUCCUAAUGUGAGGUGUCACCACCAGGAUUUAAUAGACACUGGAGCUAUGCAUCUAUUUUCACAGAACACUGCUUUACUGAAGGUAUGAUUGUAGUCAAUAGGAAGUAGUUUUAGACUCAUCACAAAUAUUUUGUAGAUUGUUUCUUUGUUUUUCAAAAACUCGUGUAUAUAAACAAGUUAUUUUAAAUACAAUUGUUUAUAUGCACAUUAUUAGUGUGUUAUUCAGUGUCCUUUGUCAGCUCUCCUUAUGCCUGUAUACAAAACCUUUCUAGAAACACUGUGAACUAAACACUUCCGAAGUUUUGUAUACUCAGAGGAGCAGUGUUAGUGUUGUCUUUUGAGGUUAAAUGGAAGUAGAACUUCAGCUUGGAGGAGUUAGAGACUUGGUCCUUUAGCGAGGUCAGUCAGGUAGGCGCUGAUGUGUUUCCCGAAUGCCUGCGACUUCUCAACUAGGAGAGUGCAAUCCUGCUGAAGCAAAGGUGGCUUAGUCCCAGUGGAUGAAUUCUUGGCCUUCCCUGGUUUGUAGCUGCUGGUUGUGCUUGUGAUGCAGGAUUUGCUAUGUUGAGUUAGUGUUCUAGUUUUUGGUGCAAAACUUUAAUAACUUGAUUUUUUCCUCCAAAAACAUGAGCAGAAGCUUUAUGGUUUUAUUUAUACUUUCUUUGGUAAAUUACUUUUAGUUAGUGAGCAUGCAGAUGUUUGAGUAUAUACACCAUAUCUCAAGGAGUAAUCCAGCUGUGCUGCAAUUCAUCCAGCUGCAAGAUAUUAUAUUCAAUGAGGCAGCUGCCUGAAGUCUUCAUUUCUUGUGACGAUAGACCAUACCUUUUUCUAUGCUUUUUGCCUCCACCUGUUAGAAGUCUUUUUGAUUGCUUUCAUUUCAUUUCAGAGUUAGUUGUCCUUGAAGCUUGUACUUUAAUUGCAUGCACUGUAUUUUAGAUGAUAAUUUUUUUGUUAUUCUUAUCUUACGUAAACUACUGUAGCCCGCCAGACUCAUCGAAGAGGCAACAAACAGAGUUUUGAGAGGCUUGAAAAGUAAUGAACAGAUGGUGUUUAUAUUCUUUGAUUAGCUACAGCUCAAAUAGUGCAUACUUCUCCAAUGACCGUAAAUCAACAUAUAAGUAGUAACACAAUUUGCAUUCCUACCUUUCAUCACAAAAAAUCCAAAUGGAUUAUUAUCACCUUUUUACCCUUGUUUGUAGUAUGUGUAUAGAAAGAAACUGUCUAGGAGUUUGUCUUAUACUUUCUCCUUGCAAAUCGAAAGUCUAAGUCUAUGCUAUCAAUUAAAAUAAACAUUCAAUAACUCUGUUGAUGUAGUGUCUUUCUACAUGGUCUGUCAUCACUUCACGUGUACUUUGCUUCAGGGUUAUAAUCAAGCAUAAUAUUUUGAGAUUUAGAAAAUAAAUUUGGAAAAAAAUAGUAAAAACUUUAUCCUGUUUGUAUAUUACAAGAAUUCAUGGCUUAAUUUCUUCAACUAUUCUGUAAGUUGAUGUAUGAAACAUACUGCAAUUUGCUUUGCUUGGCUUUUUCUAUUAUCUUUUGGGCUGUUUUAAGUUGGAUCAGUCUCAAUCUGUAGCUGUUUCAUGAACAGUUGCUCAAAAAAUGAGUAAAUUCAAACUGUGAACAGUAAGCAAGUAGCAGAUUGGUACAAGGUCAGAAAGCCUGAAGCACACAUCUGAAAUUAUUGACAGGAGCUUAAGUGCUCUAGGCCUACAAUUCCUCUUGAAUUUCAAUGAUCCAUGAGCUCUGAUUUCCUUUAGAUUAAUUGAAAAUCCCAUCCAAGGCAAUGAAAUAUCCAUUUUUCAGACAUUACUGAAAAUUGUAAUUAUUUCAUUUUUUAACUGAAAUCUCUUUGAAAUGUUGCUCACUUAUGAGACUACAAUUUAUUCAAAUAUAAUUGAAUGUGAAGUCCAUUUAUAUUAUGUCCCCUUUUUUCCCCUUGUGUUUAAUUCUGGCCUGUGAUUCGAUCAGAAGAGAGAGCAGAUGGGAAUUUGCAGAGCUUUAAAACUAUGUGCUGGAGUAUCUGAGGCAUUUCUUUAACUUCAUCAAUAAGUCUGCUUCCUGAACAUCUGUUGUGUUGAGCUUGAUCUGGAAAUUGUAAAUAUCCUGUGUAUUACUGAAAUAUGUAUCUAUAAUCACGUCUGUAGGAAGCCCUAAUAAAAACUAUACUUAGACACUUACAUAUA